ACGUAAUAGAUACCCAGGUAGUCCACGCCCUAAACGAUGUCUACUAGUUGUUGGUGGAGUAAAAUCCAUGAGUAAACGCAGCUAAACGCGUGAAGUAGACCGCCUGGGGAGUACGGUCGCAAGAUUAAAAACUCAAAGGAAUUGACGGGGGCCCGCACAAGCGGUGGAUUAUGUGGAUUAAAUUCGAUGCAACGCGAAAAACCUUAACCUGGCCUUGACAUGCCACUAACGAAGCAGAGAUGCAUUAGGUGCCCGUAACGGGAAAGUGGACACAGGUGCUGCAUGGCUGUCGUCAGCUCGUGUCGUGAGAUGUUGGGUUAAGUCCCGCAACGAGCGCAACCCUUGCCAUUAAUUGCCAUCAUUUAGUUGGGCACUUUAAUGGGACUGCCGGUGACAAACCGGAGGAAGGUGGGGAUGACGUCAAGUCCUCAU
rnacentral:rRNA from 1 species